rnacentral:rRNA from 1 species
GCAGGCCUCAUACAUGCAAGUCGAGCGGAAAGGCCCUUCGGGGGUAUCGAGCGGCGAACGGGUGAGUAACAGGUGGGUAAUCUGCCUUCUGGAGGGGGAUAACGGCUGGAAACGGCCGCUGAUACCCCGUAAGGUUGCAGAGCCUAUGGGCUUUGCAAAGAAAGGGGCCCUUAAAGCCCCGCCGGAAGAUGAGCCCGCCCCCCAUUAGCUUGUUGGCGGGGUAACGGCCCACCAAGGCAACGAUGGGUAGCCGAGCUGAGAGGUUGAUCGGCCACACUGGAACUGAGACACGGUCCAGACACCUACGGGUGGCAGCAGUAGGGAAUAUUGCGCAAUGGGCGAAAGCCUGACGCAGCCAUGCCGCGUGGAUGAUGAAGGCCUUCGGGUCGUAAAGUCCUUUUCUGAGGGAAGAAAUGCCGGGGGAGGAAAUGCCUUCGACUUGACGGUACCUCAGGAAUAAGCAACGGCUAACUCCGUGCCAGCAGCCGCGGUAAUACGGAGGUUGCAAGCGUUGUUCGGAAUGACUGGGCGUAAAGGGAGUGCAGGCGGCCAGGUCAGUCUGAAGUGAAAGCCCGGGGCUCAACCCCGGAAUUGCUUUGGAUACUGCCUGGCUUGAGUGUGCGAGAGGAAAGCGGAAUUCCAGGUGUAGCGGUGAAAUGCGUAGAUAUCUGGAGGAACACCGGUGGCGAAAGCGGCUUUCUGGCGCAUAACUGACGCUGAGGCUCGAAAGCGUGGGGAGCGAACGGGAUUAGAUACCCCGGUAGUCCACGCCGUAAACGUUGUGCACUAGGUGUGGGAGGUAUCGACCCCUUCCGUGCCGGAGCUAACGCAUUAAGUGCACCGCCUGGGGAGUACGGUCGCAAGACUGAAACUCAAAGGAAUUGACGGGGGCCCGCACAAGCGGUG